rnacentral:snoRNA from 1 species
CCGACAUGGACGUGGCUGCUCCCGGGUGGUCACCCUCCCCGGGCUCUGUUCAGGUGGAGGGGCCUGUGAUGGACAGUCCUUUUCCACACGUCGGAGAGCACGCCGGCCUUGUGUCUGCGCCCGCAUGUCCCGACAGCCUCCCCGCGUCCCGUGCACAGUGACUGAGGGGACAAACUGUGCAGAAGACAGCC